rnacentral:rRNA from 1 species
AUUGAACGCUGGCGGCAGGCCUAACACAUGCAAGUCGAGCGAGCGGCGGACGGGUGAGUAAUGUCUGGGAAACUGCCUUAUGGAGGGGGAUAACGACUGGAAACGGUAGCUAAUACCGCAUACCAUCAGAUGAGCCCAGAUGGGAUUAGCUAGUAGGUGGGGUAACGGCUCACCUAGGCGACGAUCCCUAGCUUGUCUGAGAGGAUGACCAGCCACACUGGAGCUGAGACACGGUCCAGACUCGUAGGGGAGUGAGCAGUGGGGAAUAUUGCAGAAUGGGCGCAAGCCUGAUGAAGCCCAGCCGAGUGUGUGAAGAGGGACUGCGGGUUUUAAAGCACUUUCAGCGGGGAGGCGUUACCCUCAGAAGAAGCACCGGAUAACUCCGUGCCAGCCGCCGCGGUAAUAC